GACGAACGCUGGCGGCGUGCUUAACACAUGCAAGUCGAACGGAAAGGCCCUGCUUUUGUGGGGUGCUCGAGUGGCGAACGGGUGAGUAACACGUGAGUAACCUGCCCUUGACUUUGGGAUAUCUUCAGGAAACUGGGGCUAAUACCGGAUAGGAUCUCCUGCUGCAUGGUGGGGGUUGGAAAGUUUCGGCGGUUGUGGAUGGGCUCGCGGCUUAUCAGCUUGUUGGUGGGGUAGUGGCUUACCAAGGUUUCGACGGGUAGCCGGCCUGAGAGGGUGACCGGCGGCAAGGGGACUAAGAGACGGAGCAGAAGCCAACGGGAGGCAGCAGGGGAGAGUAUGGCACAAUGAGCGGAAGCCUGAUGCAGAGGCGCCGCGAGCGGAAAGACGGCCUUCGGGGGAUAAACCGAUUUCGCCUGUGACGAAGCGUGAGUGACGGUAAUGGGUAAAGAAGCACCGGCUAACUACGUG
rnacentral:rRNA from 1 species